UAGUAAUGGGAAAUUCGGGCGGCGAAAAUGGCUUCGUGGGUUUGCUCGCGACUCCAAUACUUUCAAAACAACACUAGCGGUCUCAUUAUUGUCGCUCCAAAAUGUCGUCCUCAUUUAAUCCCUACAAGGGUUUUCUCUGCUUCUGAACCCAAAGUGCUUAAACCAACUCCAUCGCCACUUCUAUCUUCUUCUUCUUCUUCUUCUUCGACAGACCAAUGUCGGCUGAGCAGCCCAGAGCUUGUAGCCUUGGAAUAUGCUGACCUUAAUCUUCCCCACAAGGAACUGGGUCAUGUCAGAAUCAGGCAACAUGUCAACCCCCUCAGUUCUUCUUUUUCUGUGCCUGUAGAAGUGUCUGAUUGGAAUCAAGUCUUUAAAGACCCAACAUUGCCGCUAAUGGUGGAUAUUGGAAGUGGUAGUGGCAGAUUUCUGCUAUGGCUUGCAAAAAGAAAUCUUGGUGUAAGAAAUUACUUGGGACUCGAAAUACGAGAUAAACUGGUAAAGCGUGCACAGGUCUGGGUUAAGGAGCUUACUCUUGAUAAUAUACAUUUCUUAUUUGCAAAUGCUACAAUUUCUUUCAAACAACUAGUAUCUACCUAUCCUGGACCACUGGCGCUUGUUUCAAUCCUGUGCCCGGAUCCGCAUUUUAAGAAAAGACAUCACAAGAGAAGGGUUGUGCAGAAGCCCUUAGCAGAUGCCAUUGUGGAGAGCUUAAUGCCAGGAGGCCAGGUAUUUAUACAGUCAGAUGUGUUUGAGGUAGCAGUUGACAUGAGGAAUCAGUUUCAUGGUGAGGCCGAGACACUGAAACACAUUGAUGACGUGGACUCGAGUGUGUUGUGUGAUGGUGAGGGGUGGUUGUUGAGAAAUCCCAUGGGGAUAAGAACAGAGAGAGAAAUCCAUGCUGAAGCUGAAGGUGCAAAAAUUUACAGAAGGAUGUACCAGAAAGCUGAUAUAAAAUUGAACUAACACCUUCUUUGAGUGAAAAUGAAUAAAUGGUUGCUGACUUGGUCUAUGAUUAAGUAUCCUACCAAUACAAGAUCAACGAGGACUUCGUGUUGAUGCUUAAGAGCUCGUUUAGUCGGAGGCAAAGUGGAAGGACAAAAAGCGGUGAGGGAUUAGUGGAAGAGUUUCGGGAUACAUAUUUUUUGGUAUGAGCGAAAAGACGAGGGAAUGGAUUGGGUGAGGGAUUUGAAAUCAAAUCCUUUGAAAAAACCUGAGUCUUAAGAGCUUGUUUAGUAGGGAGGAAAAGUGGAAUGAUUUUUGGGGCAUCAGUGAAAGGUUUUGGGACCCAUGAUUGUUUGCUAAGAGAAAAAACAGGGUGGAAUGAAACUGGGUUAAGAUAAAUAACAUGUAUAAUAGAAAUGCAUUAUCAUUUAAUUACCCUUCUAAUUCUAAACACGGACAUAUGGACAUGGAAAGUCUGAUAUGGUCGUCGAGCAAGGAAGUUGCAAGACUUGACGAUCAAGGCUUAAAGAACAGAAUUAGAAACUAGUUUUAUAAUGUAUAUAUAGAAGCAGCUAGGUGUAAAUGAAAA